rnacentral:rRNA from 1 species
GACGAACGCUGGCGGCGUGCUUAACACAUGCAAGUCGAACGGAAAGGCCCUGCUUUUGUGGGGUGCUCGAGUGGCGAACGGGUGAGUAACACGUGAGUAACCUGCCCUUGACUUUGGGAUAACUUCAGGAAACUGGGGCUAAUAUCGGAUAGGAGCUCCUGCUGCAUGGUGGGGGUUGGAAAGUUUCGGCGGUUGGGGAUGGACUCGCGGCUUAUCAGCUUGUUGGUGGGGUAGUGGCUUACCAAGGCUUUGACGGGUAGCCGGCCUGGGAGGGUGACCGGCCACAUGGGGACUGAGAUACGGCCCAGACUCCUACGGGAGGCAGCGGUGGGGAAUAUUACACAAUGGGCGGAAGCCUGAUGCAGCAACGCCGCGUGCGGGAUGACGGCCUUCGGGUUGUAAACCGCUUUCGCCUGUGACGAAGCGUGAGUGACGGUAAUGGGUAAAGAAGCACCGGCUAACUACGUG